ensembl:lincRNA Gm26945 predicted gene, 26945
UCCAUAAUCAGCAAAGAAUCCUGUCAGUAAGGUCUGAUUUCUUCGCAGUGUUCAUUGGAUUACUUAAGUCUACAAACCAAUGAUACAAAUGCAAUAUGAAACAAUUGCUAGGAAUCUAAUUGGCAUAUUUUACUCACAGCCCAUUUUAUUUUCGCACAGCAGUUUACUUAAGUUUUCUACUUAAUAAUCUGAGCCUGCAUGUCCAAUAUGGCUGCCACCAUACUCACAUGGCUGCUUAUAUAUAAAGUAAUUACUGUGAAGUGAAUUGUAAAAUUCAAUUUCUCUGUUGCAGUGCUCACACUGCAAGUUCUCAGUAGCUACCUGAGCCUUUGGGGCACUGUGUUAGGAUCAGGUUUCUAUUAUUCUGCAAAGAGCUAUUGGACAGCUCUUCACAGAGAAGGCUGCACACAGGAAGAGGGAAGAGAGACAGAUGUGAAGGCUUUGAGGCAGGCAUGCGAAUUGAUCCAUCCAUGGUUCACUGAAGGCCCCUGGAAAGAGAAUCAGGGAGAGAACUCAGCAAUGAGAAAAGAAAGAACCUGUAAGGAGACCCCAGUCCCAAGCACAAGUUCUUCUCACUUCAUGAAUAUUUAUCCUAUUGCCCCCAGGGAGGCUAUGAAUGGGUCAAUAAACAAAACUGUCCCUGAAAGAAAAAGACAGAGGUCAAAGGUGGCUCAUGUGGAUCACUGAUGAGUACCCUGGGGUGUCUGAAUGGAGGGCUUUGACUAAGCCCUGUCACUCAGAGGUCCAUCGUGAAAAAUCCCAUUUAUUAUCUCUUUCGGAUAUGAGCUUAGUCUGGCUAUCUAAAAUAACAUGGGCUGUAUUCUUGGGCUUCUGUGCACUAAAGCAGUGUAUGAAUCAACCAAGAACCCUAUAAAUGAACACUAACGAAAUGGGUCAUUGCUCUUUCAAAUAUGUGGGUAGUACAAUAAGAAUCUUUACUAAUGUAUUUAUGAAGCUUGACAUUCUAGCAAUGUAUUGAUCAAGGCUGAUGCCAUGGGGCAAGGAACAUUUGGAUAGAUGUUUGUUCUUUUGACAUAUUGUGUGUUUUUUAAAGGGAAGAGCAAAAUAUUUAUUUAAGAUGAUUAUUAACUAAAUAAAAUCUGAGUAGAAGAGGGCUUAUACAUGAAUCUAGGCUGACAGCUCGCCCCAGNNNNNNNNNNNNNNNNNNNNNNNUUUCCACUGUAUUUCAAUUCUGACCCUCACUUUAAUUUAAAUAGUUAGAGACAUGUGUUAAUCCUUCCAUGACUGAACAUACAAUGUAAUCUGGAAUUAAUCUAUUGUUCCAUUUUUGUGGAAUCACAGUUGUAAUGGCAUUAUCAUAUAUAGAAAAAGGACAUUACUAUCUCAAUUAAUCAAGCUAAGCUGCAGGACCUUUUAUUAUGAGAGAAGUAGAUAGUUACAGUACCACCGAAAUUGGAGAAACCUAAUAAGUGGAGCACCUCACAUUUUUCCUAUUUUUUUUCUAUUAUUUAUUUAGACAUAAUACAAUAUUAUAAAGUUUUUGUUUUGUUCCUUGAAGUUGCAGGGUCAAAGAGUUACAUAUGCAACCACAUAUAUAUUAUAUGCAUAUGUAUGCAUAGGCUCCUGUAGAGACACCUUGCCUAGGUCCAGUCAGAAUAUUUCCCUCUUGACAGACCCAUGAACCAGUCUUGGUGUUCAUGUUUGUAUCUAGUUUGCAGUUAUUGGAAAGUUACUACUUAUUGUAAUCUCAGUGGCUUUGCCAGCAAGCUUAUUCCUUAGUCCCAUCAAUUUUUGUUGAGUUAUAAUAAUCUGAGUACUUUUGGCUAUAAAAAUAUGAGUUUAGACUUGAGCUUCCUAUCUGACCAUCUGUACAAUGAAAUAGUAAUUUUCAUUUUGUUACUGCUUUGUCCUCAGAAUGCAUACACCAGUCCCCAUUGUUCUCAGGUUAGGAAGGAAUGGAUGUUUAUCGUCCUGAGUCUUCUUUGCUCAUAACCACUGGCUUCCCAAUUCACUGUCGGUCUCUGUUCUAAUAUCAGAGGGG